rnacentral:rRNA from 1 species
GAGUUUGAUCAUGGCUCAGAACGAACGCUGGCGGCAGGCCUAACACAUGCAAGUCGAGCGCUACCUUCGGGUGGAGCGGCGGACGGGUUAGUAACGCGUGGGAAUAUACCCAGUUCUAAGGAAUAGCCACUGGAAACGGUGAGUAAUACCUUAUACGCCCUUCGGGGGAAAGAUUUAUCGGAAUUGGAUUAGCCCGCGUUAGAUUAGAUAGUUGGUGGGGUAAUGGCCUACCAAGUCUACGAUCUAUAGCUGGUUUGAGAGGAUGAUCAGCAACACUGGGACUGAGACACGGCCCAGACUCCUACGGGAGGCAGCAGUGGGGAAUCUUGCACAAUGGAGGAAACUCUGAUGCAGCGAUGCCGCGUGAGUGAAGAAGGCCUUUGGGUUGUAAAGCUCUUUCGUCGGGGAAGAAAAUGACUGUACCCGAAUAAGAAGGUCCGGCUAACUUCGUGCCAGCAGCCGCGGUAAUACGAAGGGACCUAGCGUAGUUCGGAAUUACUGGGCUUAAAGAGUUCGUAGGUGGUUGAAAAAGUUGGUGGUGAAAUCCCAGAGCUUAACUCUGGAACUGCCAUCAAAACUUUUCAGCUAGAGUAUGAUAGAGGAAAGCAGAAUUUCUAGUGUAGAGGUGAAAUUCGUAGAUAUUAGAAAGAAUACCAAUUGCGAAGGCAGCUUUCUGGAUCAUUACUGACACUGAGGAACGAAAGCAUGGGUAGCGAAGAGGAUUAGAUACCCUCGUAGUCCAUGCCGUAAACGAUGUGUGUUAGACGUUGGAAAUUUAUUUUCAGUGUCGCAGGGAAACCGAUAAACACACCGCCUGGGGAGUACGACCGCAAGGUUAAAACUCAAAUGAAUUGACGGGGACCCGCACAAGUAGUGGAGCAUGUGGUUUAAUUCGAAGAUACGCGCAGAACCUUACCAACACUUGACAUGUUCGUCGCGACUCUAAGAGAUUAGAGUUUUCGGUUCGGCCGGACGAAACACAGGUGCUGCAUGGCUGUCGUCAGCUCGUGUCGUGAGAUGUUGGGUUAAGUCCCGCAACGAGCGCAACCCUCACUUUUAGUUGCCAUCAUUAAGUUGGGCACUCUGAAAGAACUGCCAGUGAUAAGCUGGAGGAAGGUGGGGAUGACGUCAAGUCCUCAUGGCCCUUACGUGUUGGGCUACACACGUGCUACAAUGGCAUCUACAACAGGAAGCAAAACGGCAACGUUAAGCAAAUCCCGAAAAGAUGCCUCAGUUCGGAUUGCACUCUGCAACUCGAGUGCAUGAAGCUGGAAUUACUAGUAAUCGUGGAUCAGCGUGCCACGGUGAAUGCGUUCCCGGGUCUUGUACACACCGCCCGUCACACCAUGGGAGUUGGUUCUACCUUAAGGCAAGGUUUUAAACCCUUGACCACGGUAUAGUCAGCGACUGGGGUGAAGUCGUAACAAGGUAACC